GCCCGGAUAGCCCAGUGGCAAGGCGUCGCCCUCCUAAGGCGAAGAUCGUGGGUUCGAAUCCCAUUUCGGGUG